rnacentral:rRNA from 1 species
GUGCCAGCAGCCGCGGUAAUACGUAGGGCGCAAGCGUUGUCCGGAAUUAUUGGGCGUAAAGAGCUCGUAGGCGGUUUGUCGCGUCUGCUGUGAAAGCCCGGGGCUCAACCCCGGGUCUGCAGUGGGUACGGGCAGACUAGAGUGCAGUAGGGGAGACUGGAAUUCCUGGUGUAGCGGUGAAAUGCGCAGAUAUCAGGAGGAACACCGAUGGCGAAGGCAGGUCUCUGGGCUGUUACUGACGCUGAGGAGCGAAAGCAUGGGGAGCGAACAGGAUUAGAUACCCUGGUAGUCC